AGAGUUAGAGAUACAGGGCUCUAUUUUAAUGGUCUAAAACGAAAGUGUCUUUGCGCAAAACGCAAGUCACUUUGUGGGCGGAUCUUGGGCGCUGAUGCUAUUUUACCGGCGGGAUAAUUGACUGU